rnacentral:rRNA from 1 species
AUUGAACACUGGCGGCAGGCCUAACACAUGCAAGUAGAACGAGUGGCGGACGGGUGUGUAAUGUCUGGGAAACUGCCUGAUGGAGGGGGAUAACUACUGGAAACGGUAGCUACUACCGCAUACCAUCGGAUGUGCACAGAUGGGAUUAGCGAGUAGGUGUGGUAAAGGCUCACCUAGGCGACGAUCCCUAGCUGGUCUGAGAGGAUGCCCAGCCACACUGGAACUGAGACACGGUCCAGACUCCUACGGGAGGCAGCAGUGGGGAAUAUUGCACAAUGGGCGCAAGCCUGAUGCAGCCAUGCCGCGUGUAUGAAGAAGGCCUUCGGGUUGUAAAGUACUUUCAGCGUGGAGUCGUUACCCGCAGAAGAAGCACCGGCUAACUCCGUGCCAGCAGCCGCGGUAAUAC